rnacentral:rRNA from 1 species
GAGGAAUAUUGGUCAAUGGGCGAGAGCCUGAACCAGCCAAGUAGCGUGCAGGAUGACGGCUCUAUGGGUUGUAAACUGCUUUUGUAUGGGGAUAAAGUCAAUCACGUGUGAUUGUUUGCAGGUACCAUACGAAUAAGGACCGGCUAAUUCCGUGCCAGCAGCCGCGGUAAUACGGAAGGUCCGGGCGUUAUCCGGAUUUAUUGGGUUUAAAGGGAGCGUAGGCUGGAGAUUAAGUGUGUUGUGAAAUGUAGACGCUCAACGUCUGACUUGCAGCGCAUACUGGUUUCCUUGAGUACGCACAACGUUGGCGGAAUUCGUCGUGUAGCGGUGAAAUGCUUAGAUAUGACGAAGAACUCCGAUUGCGAAGGCAGCUGACGGGAGCGCAACUGACGCUGAAGCUCGAAGGUGCGGGUAUCGAACAGGAUUAGAUACCCUGGUAGUCCGCACAGUAAACGAUGGAUGCCCGCUGUUGGUACCUGGUAUCAGCGGCUAAGCGAAAGCAUUAAGCAUCCCACCUGGGGAGUACGCCGGCAACGGUG